GUGCUCGCUUCGGCAGCACAUAUACUAAAAUUGGAACGAUACAGAGAAGAUUAGCAGUCUGCAUGGACAGCCAUGCAUGGACAGCCAUGCGCAAGGAUGACAUGCAAAUUCGUGAAGCAUUCCAUAUUAAA
ensembl:snRNA U6 U6 spliceosomal RNA